rnacentral:rRNA from 1 species
CGAACACUGGCGGCGUGGAUUAGGCAUGCAAGUCGAACGAGAAAGCUCCCUUCGGGGAGUGAGUAUAGUGGCGAACGGGUGAGUAACGCGUGGGAAACCUGCCCCUCAGUGGGGGAUAACAGUUCUAACGGACUGCUAAUACCGCAUAUCGCCUUGCGAUCACAUGAUCGAAAGGUGAAAGGUGGCCUCUACAUGUAAGCUGCCGCUGAGGGAUGGUCCCGCGUCCCAUUAGCUUGUUGGUAGGGUAAUGGCCUACCAAGGCGACGAUGGGUAGCCGGCCUGAGAGGGUGUCCGGCCACACUGGGACUGAGAUACGGCCCAGACUCCUACGGGAGGCAGCAGUCGAGAAGCUUCGGCAAUGGGCGAAAGCCUGACCGAGCGACGCCGCGUGAGCGAUGAAGGCCUUACAGGUUGUAAAGCUCUGUCAGAUUGGGAAGAAAACUCCGGGAUUAAUACCCUCGGAGCUUGACGGUACCAUCAGAGGAAGCACCGGCUAACUCC